UGCAAACGUUGUUCGGAAUUACUGGGCUUGAAGCGCACGUAGGCGGCGUUGUAAGUGUCGGGUGAAAUCCCACGGCUCACCCGUGGAACUGCCCGGCAUACUGCGAUGCUAGAGUGUGGUAGGGGAGAGCGGAACUCCUGGUGGAGCGGUGAAAUGCGUAGAUAUCAGGAGGAACACCGGUGGCGAAGGCGGCUCUCUGGUCCACAACUGACGCUGAGGUGCGAAAGCUAGGGGAGCAAACGGGAUUAGAUACCCCGGUAGUCCUAGCUGUAAACGAUGGGCACUAGCUUGGGGUCUCCCUGUGUGAUCCCAGGUGAAGCAAAAGUGAUAAGUGCCCCGCCUGGGGAGUAUGGUCGCAAGGCUG
rnacentral:rRNA from 1 species